CCUCCUCCUAGAAGUGUUGUAGGUGUGGCUGAAGUAUUACAAGUAUGUAAGUAGGUGGCAGAGAGGAGAGAGGCUAUGUCGAAGACCAGCAUUCUGACCUAGGAACAUCUGAAUAAUUAAUAGUCUAACAGU
ensembl:snoRNA